rnacentral:rRNA from 1 species
GUAAUAGCUCACUGGUCGAGUCGGUCCGCGCGGAAGAUGUAACGGGGCUAAAACUAUAUGCCGAAGCUGCGGAUUUGCAAUUUAUUGCAAGUGGUAGGGGAGCGUUCUGUAAGCCGAUGAAGGUGUAUUGAGAAGUAUGCUGGAGGUAUCAGAAGUGCGAAUGCUGACGUGAGUAACGACAAUGCGAGUGAAAAACUCGCACGCUGAAAGACCAAGGGUUCCAGUCCAACGUUAAUCGGGGCUGGGUGAGUCGACCCCUAAGGCGAGGCCGAGAGGCGUAGUCGAUGGGAAAUUGGUUAAUAUUCCAAUACUUCUGUGUAAUGCGAUGAGAGGACGGAGAAGGUUAAGUCAGCCUGGCGUUGGUUGUCCAGGUGGAAGGUUGUAGGCAUGUAUCUUAGGCAAAUCCGGGGUACUCUAUGCUGAGAACUGAUAGCAAGCUGUACUUGUACAGUGAAGUGGCUGAUACCAUGCUUCCAGGAAAAGUCUCUAAGCUUCAGUUACAUAGGAAUCGUACCCGAAACCGACACAGGUGGGCAGGUAGAGUAUACCAAGGCGCUUGAGAGAAGUGUCCUGAAGGAACUCGGCAAAUUGCCUCCGUACCUUCGGAAGAAGGAGGCCCUCAUUGUGCGCAAGCAUUUUGAGGGGGCACAGGCCAGGGGGUAGCGACUGUUUAGCAAAAACACAGGGCUCUGCUAAGUCGGCUUCAAGACGACGUAUAGGGUCUGACGCCUGCCCGGUGCCUGAAGGUUAAGAG